rnacentral:tRNA from 2 species
GGGCCAGUAGCUCAGCCUGGUUAGAGCUCCGGACUUAUAAACCGGCGGUCGAUGGUUCAACUCCAUCCUGGCCCACCA